GAUGAACGCUGGCGGCGUGCCUAAUACAUGCAAGUCGAGCGAACAGACGAGGAGCUUGCUCCUCUGACGUUAGCGGCGGACGGGUGAGUAACACGUGGAUAACCUACCUAUAAGACUGGGAUAACUUCGGGAAACCGGAGCUAAUACCGGAUAAUAUAUUGAACCGCAUGGUUCAAUAGUGAAAGACGGUUUUGCUGUAACUUAUAGAUGGAUCCGCGCCGCAUUAGCUAGUUGGUAAGGUAACGGCUUACCAAGGCAACGAUGCGUAGCCGACCUGAGAGGGUGAUCGGCCACACUGGAACUGAGACACGGUCCAGACUCCUACGGAAGGCAGCAGUAGGGAAUCUUCCGCAAAGGGCGAAAGCCUGACGGAGCAACGCCGCGUGAGUGAUGAAGGUCUUCGGAUCGUAAAACUCUGUUAUUAGGGAAGAACAAAUUUGUAAGUAACUAUGCACGUCUUGACGGUACCUAAUCAGAAAGCCACGGCUAACUACGUG
rnacentral:rRNA from 1 species